GGAGUCUGGUCACCCUGUAGAGGACUUGGGUAGGAAGGAGGGAGGUGGGGCGCGCGCGCGUGCAUGCGUGCGUGCCUGUGUGUGUGGAUACCAGCUCCACAGGGAAUGAUUCACCCCUUAUCAAAAGCCAAGGAAGUGUUUGUUCAGAUUACAGUUUCUCUAAACUGAAAAGGACUUUAGAAAUGAUCUAUAAAGCCCCUUAUCACACAUAGACUUGGAGAAAUUAUCUCAUGGUGUACAGAAUCAAGGUGGCUUAUCUCCAGUGCCUUGGCAAAAAGAUUCAGAGAAACCCCAGACCUCUUAAAGAGCUUCUGUUCUUAGCGGAUGGAGACAAAUUAUACACAUCUACACUUAUGUAUGUAUAAUAUGUCAGAUGGUAAGGAAUACAGGGCAAGGAAAGGGGAUGGAGAGUAUCGGGG
ensembl:lncRNA